CGGGUGAGUAACGCGUGGAUAACCUGCCUCAUACAGGGGGAUAACAGUUAGAAAUGACUGCUAAUACCGCAUAAGCACACGGGAGCGCAUGCUUCCGGGUGAAAAGCUCCGGCGGUAUGAGAUGGAUCCGCGUCUGAUUAGCUGGUUGGCGGGGUAACGGCCCACCAAGGCGACGAUCAGUAGCCGACCUGAGAGGGUGGCCGGCCACAUUGGGACUGAGACACGGCCCAAACUCCUACGGGAGGCAGCAG
rnacentral:rRNA from 1 species